GUGGGGAAUCUUGCGCAAUGGGCGAAAGCCUGACGCAGCCAUGCCGCGUGAAUGAUGAAGGUCUUAGGAUUGUAAAAUUCUUUCACCGGGGACGAUAAUGACGGUACCCGGAGAAGAAGCUCCGGCUAACUUCGUGCCAGCAGCCGCGGUAAUACGAAGGGGGCUAGCGUUGCUCGGAAUUACUGGGCGUAAAGGGCGCGUAGGCGGACAGCUUAGUCAGAGGUGAAAGCCCAGGGCUCAACCUUGGAAUUGCCUUUGAUACUGGCUGUCUUGAGUUUGGGAGAGGUGAGUGGAACUCCGAGUGUAGAGGUGAAAGUCGUAGAUAUUCGGAAGAACACCAGUGGCGAAGGCGACUCACUGGCCCGUUACUGACGCUGAGGCGCGAAAGCGUGGGGAGCAAACAGGAUUAGAAACCCCUGUAGUCC
rnacentral:rRNA from 1 species